AACAAAUAAAAAAACAAACGUACAAGGGUUUUAACUGCCCCAUGCUAAAUACACAUGAAUACUCGUAUAUAACUGAAUAUGUGAAAGGGGAAUGAUUUAAGUUAAGACAGCGGCUUUUGUCGAACGUCAUCCUCAUGUGUGUCUAUAAACCGUUUAAAAAAAAAAAAACGUAAUGAAAAACGAUACCUGGAAGAUGCCCAGUGUCAGCUGCUUUCUCACUGCAGUCCUGUGGCUUCUCUGCAUGGUAAAAUAAUCUGUCUCAGCCUAAGGAUUUUAAUAGCAAAAACAAUUCAGCAGCGGGGGCGGGGAGCAGACCAAACAGCUAGGAUCAUUUCAUCGCUUUGUCCAGCAGACACGACUGCUCCAAGUCAUCACCUGCUGCAACGACACCUCAAAUAAAAUCCGAUUAUUACGGCACAAUCACGCCAAGGCCUGAGCUACUGAUGUUAAAGAGCACCUGUCACCUGAGGUUACCUUUGGUAGCCAAUUUAUGGGAUGGGUUUAUUAAUAUACAUACUGAAUGUCACUUCACCAAAUAAAUUGCACAAUUGAGGAACGAGUCAAUCUGAGCCUUGCUUAAUAAAGUGAAGAUAUGUUGGUGGAGCUCGAUCAAGAAUUUGGUCACAGAACGAAAGCAAUGAAGGAAGUUGAUUGCUACGGACAACGCAGGCAACUUUCUCCUCUCCUGACGUCACCCCCUCAAUGUCCGGGAUCGCCUCCCUUUCCCAGAUUCCAUUCCCUCUGCAUCAUCCGCAGUCAUUCCUGUAAUCAGAACACCCACAAACUCACUUCCGGGACAAGACAUUGUAUCUGCUGGACUCCUCAAGGCAAGCUGAGAUGAGACAAUGUCUGACCUUCCCUGAUUCUGGAAGAAAGUGCCGGAACAGUUGCUAAAAGUAUCUGAUUUAUUGCUACAAUCGCCUGACCAUUCAUAACACCUGUUUAUUAAAGACCCUGAAAUUUU